rnacentral:rRNA from 1 species
AGGGGUAACAGUAGGGAGCUUGCUUCCUAGCUGACGACCGGCGAACGGGUGCGUAACACGUAUACAACUUACCCUCUACAGGAGAAUAGCCCAGAGAAAUCUGGAUUAAUGCUCCAUAGUAAUAAGAGAUCACAUGUUUUCUUAUUUAAAGCUCCGGCGGUAGAGGAUGGGUAUGCGGCCUAUUAGUUUGUUGGUGAGGUAACGGCUCACCAAGACUACGAUAGGUAGGGGUUCUGAGAGGAUUAUCCCCCACACUGGUACUGAGACACGGACCAGACUCCUACGGGAGGCAGCAGUGAGGAAUAUUGGGCAAUGGACGCAAGUCUGACCCAGCCAUGCCGCGUGCAGGAAGACUGCCCUAUGGGUUGUAAACUGCUUUUAUAUGCCAAGAAACUCAUCUACGUGUAGAUGACUGACGGUAGCAUACGAAUAAGGACCGGCUAACUCCGUGCCAGCAGCCGCGGUAAUACGGAGGGUCCAAGCGUUAUCCGGAUUUAUUGGGUUUAAAGGGUCCGUAGGCGGGUCUUUAAGUCAGUGGUGAAAGCCUGCAGCUCAACUGUAGAAUUGCCAUUGAAACUGAAGAUCUUGAGUAUAUUUGAUGUGGGCGGAAUGUGUCAUGUAGCGGUGAAAUGCUUAGAUAUGACACAGAACACCGAUUGCGAAGGCAGCUCACAAAACUAUAACUGACGCUGAGGGACGAAAGCGUGGGGAGCGAACAGGAUUAGAUACCCUGGUAGUCCACGCCGUAAACGAUGAUUACUCGAUAUUAGCACCUAGUGUUAGUGUUCAAGCGAAAGUGAUAAGUAAUCC